UCCCAGGUGCAGCUGGUGGAGUCCGGAGGGGAUGUGAAAAAGCCCGGAGACUCUCUCCGCCUCUCCUGCAAAGCCUCCGGCUUCACCUUCAGCGGCGCCUACAUGAGCUGGGUCCGACAGGCUCCCGUGAAGGGGCUGGAGUGGUUGGCUCAGAUUAGACCCGAUGCAUCUAAUCAGUGGUACUCCCCGGCUGUUGAAGGCCGAUUCACCAUCUCCAGGGACAACUCCAACAACCUGCUGUAUCUGCAACUGACCGGCCUGAAGCCCGAGGACACCGCCCGCUAUUACUGUGCGAGUGACACAGUGAGGGGAAGCCGGGCUGAGCUCAGACAAGAACCUCUCCCUGCAGUGAUCAGAGAAGCGGUUUGGUGUUGGGGGCGCCCCAGGCCUGUGAGUGACAAUGAGAUCAGUUCUGGGAAAGGGCCGAGCAGCAGCAGACCCUUUUAUUGUUGUUAUUAUCCCUCCUCUUUGCUUUUACACAAGGACCCUCUUCGCUUCACCGUGCUGGGAUUCCGCUCAGUGUCACCCUGUCAGUGA